rnacentral:rRNA from 1 species
UACGGAGGAUGCAAGCGUUAUCCGGAAUGAUUGGGCGUAAAGCGUCCGCAGGUGGCUGUGUAAGUCUGCUGUCAAAGAGCGAAGCUCAACUUCGUAAAGGCAGUGGAAACUACACGGCUAGAGUGCGUUCGGGGCAGAGGGAAUUCCUGGUGUAGCGGUGAAAUGCGUAGAGAUCAGGAAGAACACCGGUGGCGAAGGCGCUCUGCUAGGCCGCAACUGACACUGAGGGACGAAAGCCAGGGGAGCAAACGGG